rnacentral:misc_RNA from 1 species
AAAAUGCGAAAAGUAAUGCGAAUUGCAUUCUUCGUGAAUCAUUAAAUCUUUGAACGCAACUUGCACCUUUUGACUUGUCAACAGGUAUACUUGUUUGAGUAUCGAAUCACCUCCUCACUCUUACCCUUCUAUGCACUCAAUCUUUGGAGAGAGUGCCCGGUUGGAGAUGAGUGGACCUGAGAUUCUCACUGAGGAAACUCGUGCUGUGAGUAUCUUCAAAUGUAGGCCUUGUGAAAAGAGUCUUACUCUAAUGGGAUAAGGCGAUCUAACCAUCGUCAUCAUUAGCAGUGAGGUUACCUCUUUUCGGAUACUGGCUACCGGAUGGGCCGUGAGGCAAGUGUCAUGCUUAGCCUCCAGCCAAUAUCAUUGAUCAGGGAGACCUGGUUGAUUGAUUCAAUCG